UACUUGUGCGGCAAGUUGAUGUCUUUGUCAAGGAUCUACUCCAAGCUAUGCUGUAGCAAAAUAUUACCACACGAAGCACACGCCAAAACUAAACGAUAAGUAGAAAUCGUGUCUUGGCCUUAUCUCUCAAUGUGUUCUGAAGGCAGGAUUUGUGAUAUAAAAGCUAAGUAAGUCAUCACACGCUUGUGCUGUAAGACUUUUUUGAGAAGACCAUUGUCAACUACGAUCGUUAAUUAGCCAAAAUUCAAAAAUGAAUACUGUCAUUAAAGUAGUCAUUGUUGCUGUUGCCGUCGGCAUAAUGGCCGCUGUGGCUAACGCUGUUCCUUUGUUAAUAAAUCUGCCCAUUUGUGAGUGCAUCGUGGCACCAUGUAACUGUGGUUAAUAGACAUUCCGUUGGCCAGAUUAUUCGAAAAGAGUGUUGAAAAGAAGCAAAAAAAGAUGAAAAUAAAAUGAUUCUUGAGACUAUAAUUAA